rnacentral:rRNA from 1 species
GACGAACCGUGCGAACGUUGUUCGGAUUCACUGGGCUUAAAGGGCGCGUAGGCGGGUUGUCAAGUCAGGGGUGAAAGCCUCCAGCUCAACUGGAGAAGUGCCUUUGAUACUGAUGAUCUUGAGGGAGGUAGGGGCAUGUGGAACUUCCGGUGGAGCGGUGAAAUGCGUAGAUAUCGGAAGGAACGCCGGUGGCGAAAGCGACGUGCUGGACCUCUUCUGACGCUGGAGGCGCGAAAGCUAGGGGAGCGAACGGG